rnacentral:misc_RNA from 1 species
GAUGAAGAACGUAGCAAAAUGCGAUACUUGGUGUGAAUUGCAGAAUCCCGUGAACCAUCGAGUUUUUGAACGCAAGUUGCGCCCGAAGCCUUUUGGCCGAGGGCACGUCUGCCUGGGCGUCACGCAUCGCGUCGCCCCCCCACAAUUCUCCGUAAAGGGAACUUGUGUUUUGGGGGCGGAUAUUGGUCUCCCGUGCUCAUGGCGUGGUUGGCCGAAAUAGGAGUCCUUUCGAUGGACGCACGAACUAGUGGUGGUCGGAAAAACCCUCGUCUUUUGUUUCGUGCUGUUGCUCGCAAGGUAAACUCUUUAAAAACCCCAAUGUGUCGUCUCUUGACGACGCUUCGACCGCGACCCCAGGUCAGGCGGGACUACCCGCUGAGUUUAAGCAUAUCAAUAAGCGGAGGA